rfam:Ornithorhynchus anatinus chromosome 4, whole genome shotgun sequence.
GGCAGCGUAGCUCAGUGGAAAGAGCACAGGCUUGAGAGUCAGGUCAUGGGUUCUAAUCCCGGCUCUGCCA